ensembl:snRNA U2 U2 spliceosomal RNA
AUCGCUUCUCGGCCUUUUGGCUAAGAUCAAGUGUAGAAAUUCCCCUGGGAUCUAAGAGUCCUAUUUUCCUUUCCGAAUGGAGGACACAGGUUAUAAAUAUCUAUGUCAUAGUGGAGAGAUAUUAU